rnacentral:rRNA from 1 species
AUGGCCAACAGUGAGUAUGAGUAUGUGAAGAGGGAAUUUGAGUUCGACCGCCGCCUCCCGGCCUCCAACUGGAUUGUUGUCCGCAUCGACGGCUGCCAUUUUCACCGAUUCUCGAAGAUACAUGCCUUUGAGAAACCAAAUGAUGAUAAUGCUUUAAGAUUGAUGAAUGCUUGUGCCACCUCUAUGCUCGAGAAGUUCCCUGAUAUAGUGUUUGCUUAUGGUGUUAGCGACGAGUACAGUUUUGUUUUCAGAGAGGAAACAGAAUUCUAUCAAAGGCGAGAAAGCAAAAUUCUGUCUUUAUGUGUUUCUUACUUCACAUCUGUGUACGUGAUGAAGUGGAAAGAUUUCUUUCCUAAUAAAGAUUUGAGGGAGCCUCCUUAUUUUGAUGGGCGAGUUGUAUGCUAUCCAAAUAUGAAAACCAUUCAUGAUUAUUUGGCAUGGAGGCAAGUGGACUGUCAUAUAAAUAAUCAUUAUAAUACAUGCUUCUGGAUGUUGGUGAAGUCUGGAAAAACUGAAAAAGAGGCACAACAGACAUUGAAGGGGACAUUUUCUAAGGACAAGAAUGAGUUGCUUUCUCAACAGUUCCAAGUCAACUAUGAGGAUGAACCGGCUAUGUUCCGGAAAGGAUCAAGUGUUUAUCGAGAUAAGGUAGAAACAAAGGUGAAAACAGACGACUACGGGAAUCCCAUAAAAAGAAUCCGGCUGGCAAUUACAGUGUCAAAUCUAGAUAUCAUAGGACCUGAGUUUUGGGAAAAACAUCAAUACAUUCUUCAAGAAGGAAAAUAUAGAUACGAGUAUGUGAAGAAGUUUGACGACAUCCGCAGGCUUCCAUGUUGUAAUUGGAUCGUUGUUCGUAUCAGCGCCUGCCAAUUCGACCAAUUCUCGCUGAUCCAUUCAUUUGACAAGCCAAAUGAUGAGACUGCUUUAAGUUUGAUGAACGCUUCUGCUUCUUUGAUGAUGGAGCAAUUCCCUGAUAUUAUCUUUGGUUAUGGCUUUAGCAACGAGUACAGCUUUGUGUUCCAGGAGAACACUGAAUUGUACCAGAGAAAUGAGAGAUUAAUCCUUUCUUCAUGUUCAUCAUGUUUCACUUCCUUUUACACAAUGAAGUGGAAAGAAUAUUUCCCCAGUAAAGAAUUAGUGCAGCCACCUAAAUUUGAAGCAGAAGUUCUCUGUUACCCAAAACCAAAGAUCGUUUGUGAUUAUUUGUCCUGGAGGCAAGCAGAAUGUCACAACAGGAACCAAUACAAUACAUGCUUUUGGAUGUUAGUGAAAUCUGGAGAAGAUGAAAACAAAGCUAAUGAGAUACUAAAGGGAACAUUAUCAAAGGAUAAGAACGAGUUGCUUUUUCAACGAUUUCAAAUGAACUACAACAAUGAACCCGCUAUGUUCCGAAAGGGUUCAUGUACUUACCGUCAAAAGGUGGAAGUGAGCGGAGAUGUCGCGAGAGAUGGGUGGGAUGUGGCAGUGACCCAUGUUGACAUGGGGCCUGACUUUUGGAGAAAGCAUAUUUAUAUUUUCGACAAAUGA